rnacentral:rRNA from 1 species
GGAAUAUUGGACAAUGGGCGAAAGCCUGAUCCAGCGACGCUGCGUGUGUGAAGAAGGCCUGCGGGUUGUAAAGCACUUUCGGUGGGAACGAAAUGUGCCGGGCUAAUACCCCGGCAAGCUGACGUUACUCAAUGAAGAAGCACCGGCUAACUCUGUGCCAGCAGCCGCGGUAAUACAGAGGGUGCGAGCGUUAAUCGGAAUUACUGGGCGUAAAGCGCGCGUAGGCGGUUUGGUAAGUCGGUUGUGAAAGCCCCGGGCUUAACCUGGGAAUUGCAGUCGAUACUGCCUGACUAGAGUAUGGUAGAGGGAAGUGGAAUUUCCGGUGUAGCGGUGAAAUGCGUAGAUAUCGGAAGGAACACCAGUGGCGAAGGCGACUUCCUGGGCCAAUACUGACGCUGAGGUGCGAAAGCGUGGGGAGCAAAC